GACGAACGCUGGCGGCGUGCUUAACACAUGCAAGUCGAACGGUAAGGCCCUUCGGGGUACACGAGUGGCGAACGGGUGAGUAACACGUGGGUGAUCUGCCCUGCACUUCGGGAUAAGCCUGGGAAACUGGGUCUAAUACCGUAUAGGACUCCUGGCUUCAUGGUUGGGGGUGGAAAGCGUUUGCGGUGUGGGAUGGGCCCGCGGCCUAUCAGCUUGUUGGUGGGGUAAUGGCCUACCAAGGCGACGACGGGUAGCCGGCCUGAGAGGGUGACCGGUCACACUGGGACUGAGAUACGGCCCAGACUCCUACGGGAGGCAGCAGUGGGGAAUAUUGCACAAUGGGCGCAAGCCUGAUGCAGCGACGCCGCGUGAGGGAUGACGGCCUUCGGGUUGUAAACCUCUUUCAGCUAUGACGAAGCGCAAGUGACGGUAGUAGCAGAAGAAGGACCGGCCAACUACGUGCCAGCCGCCGCGGUAA
rnacentral:rRNA from 1 species